rnacentral:snRNA from 1 species
AUGCUCUAGUUAGCAUGUAUACUAACAUUGUAACAAUACAAAGAUUAGCACGGCCCUUGAGCAAGGAUGACAUGCAAAUGAUUUU